rnacentral:lncRNA from 1 species
AGCCGGUGGGGGAGGGCGUGGCCAUAGGCCUGGAAGGGAGGGUUGAUGGCCCUUCACUGGUGUCCUCUGGGUGGAUGGGGCCUUCCAUUCAGGGCAGUGAGGGCACCCAGGGUCUCUGGACUGAAGGUGCUGUGAACCUCACACAGGGAAGCCUCAGGCCAGAUCCUCUGUCCUAAGUAUCCACUUAGGACUAUGCUUAGCCAAGAAGGGGUCAACUAAGGAAGGUUGGAGACUGCAGCCAGCUCUGGGGGGUCCCUCUGCAGGUACCUCUGCGGAGCCCUUCAUCCCGGAAUAAAGCCACAUAUGCUUAGGCAUGGGCCAAGAACUCAAAGGGCCAGGCAGACAGAUUCAGGGUCACUGGGAGGCAGAGAGAGGCUCAGGGCUUCUAAGUGGGAUUUUGACCUUGGAUCUCUGGAGGGUCUAGGUGUCAGCAGACCACCCUCCUCUCUUGCCCUGCUGAGGUUCCAAGGCUUCUUUCUGAGCAAGUCCUUACAGCUGGAGACCUUGGCCGGUCGGGGCAGCUGCCCAGCCCACACCAACACUGCUGCAGACCCAAAUCCUUGGGCCCCAGACUACACACUGCAGCCCUUCCUCCAAACCAGCACAAGUCUAGUCUAUCCACAGGCCACUGGCCCAGCAGGGAGGGUAAGCCCAACAUCCCCCCUGGCCUGUGUGGGAAAUCCUUGUGCCACUCAGGAUACCAUGAGGCUAUGCAGAAGAAUCACCAGCAACCAUCAGCCCUGUAAGAUGUGGGUGUCCUCUGUAAGCCCUGUAAGGUGGGGGUGCAGAGGGAGGCCCUCUGAGGACUGUCUGUCCACCUGACUUUCUUCCAACACCGAGCCUCUAUCUUCUCAGCACAGCAGCCUGGCCUGUGGGUGGUUGGCAAGCUCCCAGAGGAAGGCCCUGAGUCCCUGCAGAGCAUUGGGAACCCAUAAGGCCGGGACUUGGUGGCUGGGUCUGUCCUUGACAAAAGGGCCUGGCCAACUCCGACACCUGGGGUCUUGUCACCAACCACUGGAGCCCCAUGACCUCAUCUGAGCCUUCUUGGGCCAUUUCCUUCCCAGCUGGCACCCCUGCCUGG